UUGAACGCUGGCGGCAUGCUUUACACAUGCAAGUCGAACGGUAGACCCUUUCGGGGGUUGAGAGUGGCGAACGGGUGAGUAAUGCAUCGGAACAUACCCAGUCGUGGGGGAUAACGUAGCGAAAGUUACGCUAAUACCGCAUGAGUCCUGAGGGAGAAAGCGGGGGAUCGCAAGACCUCGCGCGAUUGGAGUGGCCGAUGUCAGAUUAGCUAGUUGGUGGGGUAAAGGCCUACCAAGGCGACGAUCUGUAGCGGGUCUGAGAGGAUGAUCCGCCAGACUGUGACUGAGACACGGCCCAGACUCCUACGGGAGGCAGCAGUGGGGAAUUUUGGACAAUGGGCGAAAGCCUGAUCCAGCCAUGCCGCGUGCGGGAAGAAGGCCUUCGGGUUGUAAAGCUCUUUCAGCCGGAAAGAAAUCGUGCAGAUUAACACUCUGUAUGGAUGACGGUACCGGAAGAAGAAGCACCGGCUAACUACGU
rnacentral:rRNA from 1 species